AGCGCGGAGCACGAGGAAUUCUGCGUGAAUCUGCCGGGACCAUCCGGUAAGGCUAAAUACUCCCGAGAGACCGAUAGCGAACCAGUACCGUGAGGGAAAGGUGAAAAGCACUUCGAACAGAAGAGUGAAAUAGUUCCUGAAACCGUGCGCCUACAAGCGGUCGGAGCUCGUUAAUGAGUGACGGCGUGCCUUUUGCAUAAUGAACCUACGAGUUGCCUUUGCCGGCAAGGUUAAGUGUGACGACACACGUAUCCGAAGCGAAAGCGAGUCUGAACAGGGCGUAUAGUCGGCAGUGGCAGACGCGAAACCAAGUGAUCUACCCUUGGCCAGGUUGAAGGCUGGGUAACACCAGCUGGAGGACCGCACCAAUAAGCGUUGAAAAGCUUCUGGAUGAGCUGAGGGUAGGGGUGAAAGGCUAAUCAAACUUGGAGAUAGCUCGUACUCCCCGAAAUGCAUUUAGGUGCAGCCUUGCGGGUUACUGAUGUGAGGUAGAGCGACUGAUAAGAUGCGAGGGCUUCACCGCCUAUCAAGUCUUGACAAACUCCGAAUGCGCAUCAGUUCUACCGCAGGAGUGAGGGCAUGGGUGCUAAGGUCCGUGCCCGAGAGGAGAAGAAUCCGGACCACCUGCUAAGGUCCCGAAAUGACAGCUAAGUUAAACUAACGAAGUCUGACUGCUAAGACAGCUAGGAUGUUGGCUUGGAAGCAGCCAUUCAUUUAAAGAGUGCGUAACAGCUCACUAGUCGAGGAGUCGGGCGUGGAUAAUAAUCGGGUAUCAAGUUGUCUACCGAAGCAGUGGGAUCAUUUAUAUGAUCGGUAGGGGAGCAUUCCAGUCAGCGUCGAAGGCGUACCGUGAGGUAUUCUGGAGCGUCUGGAAAAGCAAAUGUAGGUAUAAGUAACGAUAAAGGGGGCGGGAAACCCCCUCGCCGAAAGACUAAGGUUUCCUGAUCAACGCUAAUCGGAUCAGGGUCAGUCGGGUCCUAAGGCUCAGCCGAACGGCGAUGCCGAUGGCAGAAACGGUUAAUAUUCCGUUACUACCUUCAGGAGUGACGUGGAGACGCAGUAGUGACAGUGCCGCCAUCUGACGGAAUAGAUGGUUGAAGGGUGUAGGAGUCGAUCAUGGCAGGCAAAUCCACCAUGAGAUCCGAACCUGAUAGUAUGCCGCGUCCUUCGGGACAAGGCAAUAGUGCGCGUAAGCAUGCUGCCGAGAAAAUCCGCUAAACUUAAUCCUGUAGGUACCCGUACCGCAAACGGACACACGUAGUCGGGAUGAAUAUUCUAAGGCGCUUGAGUGAUUCACGGUUAAGGAACUAGGCAAACUGACCCUGUAACUUCGGGAUAAAGGGUCCCUACCCUUUUAUGGGAGGGCGCAGAGAAUCGGUCCAGGCAACUGUUUAACAAAAACACAGGGCUGUGCCAAAUCGAAAGAUCCAGUAUACAGCCUGACACCUGCCCGGUGCUGGAAGGUUAAGAGGAGAUGUCAUCGAUGAGAGAAGCGUUGAAUUGAAGCCCCAGUAAACGGCGGCCGUAACUAUAACGGUCCUAAGGUAGCGAAAUUCCUUGUCGGGUAAGUUC
rnacentral:rRNA from 1 species